CCUACGGGAGGCAGCAGUGAGGAAUAUUGGUCAAUGGUCGGGAGACUGAACCAGCCAAGCCGCGUGAGGGAUGAAGGUACAGAGUAUCGUAAACCUCUUUUGUCAGGGAACAAAGGCGGGGACGCGUCCCCGGAUGAGUGUACCUGAAGAAAAAGCAUCGGCUAACUCCGUUCCAGCAGCCGCGGUAAUACGGAGGAUGCGAGCGUUAUCCGGAUUUAUUGGGUUUAAAGGGUGCGAAGGCGGUCUGUUAAGUCAGCGGUAAAGGCCCGGGGCUCAACCCCGGCCCGCAGUUGAAACUGGCAGUCUCGAGUUGGAGAGAAGUAUGCGGAAUGCGCGGUGUAGCGGUGAAAUGCAUAGAUAUCGCGCAGAACUCCGAUGGCGAAGGCAGCAUGCUGGCUCCAAACUGACGCUGAGGCACGAAAGCGUGGGUAUCGAACAGGAUUAGAUACCCCAGUAGUC
rnacentral:rRNA from 1 species